GACGAACGCUGGCGGCGUGCUUAACACAUGCAAGUCGAACGGAAAGGCCCUGCUUUUGUGGGGUGCUCGAGUGGCGAACGGGUGAGUAACACGUGAGUAACCUGCCCUUGACUUUGGGAUAACUUCAGGAAACUGGGGCUAAUACCGGAUAGGAGCUCCUGCUGCAUGGUGGGGGUUGGAAAGUUUCGGCGGUUGGGGAUGGACUCGCGGCUUAUCAGCUUGUUGGUGGGGUAGUGGCUUACCAAGGCUUUGACGGGUAGCCGGCCUGAGAGGGUGACCGGCCACAUUGGGACUGAGAUACGGCCCAGACUCCUACGGGAGGCAGCAGUGGGGAAUAUUGCACAAUGGGCGGAAGCCGGAUGCAGCAACGCCGCGUGCGGGAGGACGGCCUUCGGGUGGUAAACCGCUUUCGCCUGUGACGAAGCGUGAGUGACGGUAAUGGGGAAAGAAGCACCGGCUAACUACGU
rnacentral:rRNA from 1 species